rnacentral:rRNA from 1 species
AGAUUGAACGCUGGCGGCAUGCUUUACACAUGCAAGUCGAGCGGCAGCGCGAGGGCAACCUUGGCGGCGAGCGGCGAACGGGUGAGUAAUACAUCGGAACGUAUCCCGUAGAGGGGGAUAGCCCGGCGAAAGCCGGAUUAAUACCGCAUAUGCUCUACGGAGGAAAGUGGGGGACUUCGCAAGGAGCCUCACGCUAUGGGAGCGGCCGAUGGCCGAUUAGCUAGUUGGUGGGGUAAAGGCCUACCAAGGCGACGAUCGGUAGCUGGUCUGAGAGGAUGAUCAGCCACACUGGGACUGAGACACGGCCCAGACUCCUACGGGAGGCAGCAGUGGGGAAUUUUGGACAAUGGGGGCAACCCUGAUCCAGCCAUGCCGCGUGCGGGAAGAAGGCCUCGGUUGUAAACCCUUUCAGCAGGACGAAGCGAAGUGACGGUACCUGCAGAAGAAGCGCCGGCUAACUACGCGCCAGCAGCCGCGGU